rnacentral:rRNA from 1 species
CAGCCGCCACGGGAAUACGUAGGUGGCAAGCGUUGUCCGGAAUUAUUGGGCGUAAAGGGCUCGCAGGCGGUUUCUUAAGUCUGAUGUGAAAGCCCCCGGCUCAACCGGGGAGGGUCAUUGGAAACUGGGAAACUUGAGUGCAGAAGAGGAGAGUGGAAUUCCACGUGUAGCGGUGAAAUGCGUAGAGAUGUGGAGGAACACCAGUAGCGAAGGCGACUCUCUGGUCUGUAACUGACGCUGAGGAGCGAAAGCGUGGGGAGCGAACAGGAUUAGAUACCCCUGUAGUCCCUGUCUCUUAUAC